rnacentral:rRNA from 1 species
UACAGAGGGGGCAAGCGUUGUUCGGAAUUACUGGGCGUAAAGGGCGCGUAGGCGGCCUGCUAAGUCGAACGUGAAAUCCCUGGGCUCAACCCAGGAACUGCGUCCGAUACUGGUUGGCUUGAAUCCGGGAGAGGGAUGUGGAAUUCCAGGUGUAGCGGUGAAAUGCGUAGAUAUCUGGAGGAACACCGGUGGCGAAGGCGGCAUCCUGGACCGAGAUUGACGCUGAGGCGCGAAAGCCAGGGGAGCAAACGGG